UAGGGAAUCUUCGGCAAUGGACGAAAGUCUGACCGAGCAACGCCGCGUGAGUGAAGAAGGUUUUCGGAUCGUAAAACUCUGUUGGUAGAGAAGAACGUUGGUGAGAGUGGAAAGCUCAUCAAGUGACGGUAACUACCCAGAAAGGGACGGCUAACUACGUGCCAGCAGCCGCGGUAAUACGUAGGUCCCGAGCGUUGUCCGGAUUUAUUGGGCGUAAAGCGAGCGCAGGUGGUUUAUUAAGUCUGGUGUAAAAGGCAGUGGCUCAACCAUUGUAUGCAUUGGAAACUGGUAGAC
rnacentral:rRNA from 1 species